GACGAACGCUGGCGGCGUGCUUAACACAUGCAAGUCGAGCGGUAAGGCCCUUUCGGGGGUACGACGAGCGGCGAACGGGUGAGUAACACGUGGGUGACCUGCCCUUAGCUCUGGGAUAAGCCUGGGAAACUGGGUCUAAUACCGGAUAUGACUCCAUGACGCAUGUUGUGGGGUGGAAAGCCUUGUGCGGCUAGGGAUGGGCCCGCGGCCUAUCAGCUUGUUGGUGGGGUGAUGGCCACCAAGGCGACGACGGGUAGCCGGCCUGAGAGGGCGACCGGCCACACUGGGACUGAGACACGGCCCAGACUCCUACGGGAGGCAGCAGUGGGGAAUCUCGCGCAAUGGGCGAAAGCCUGACGCAGCGACGCCGCGUGAGGGAUGACGGCCU
rnacentral:rRNA from 1 species